UUGCUGUUGUUUCUCUUCAGAUUGCAUAAAUCUUUUGUCUUUUGCUAAAGAUUUCUGUGGGGAGCAACAACAAGAGUCUAUCUCAGUUGUUUUGAUGCUGUGUGAAAAAUCAAAAU